AACGCACAUUGCGCCCCUUGGUAUUCCGAGGGGCAUGCCUGUUCGAGCGUCAUUGCAACCCUCAAGCUUUGCUUGGUAUUGGGCGUUCGUGGCCCCCUAUGGGGGGCGGCGUGCCCGUAAAUCAGUGGCGGUCCAGGGAGACUUCAAGCGCAGUAAAUCUAUCCGCUUUCGAGGUGUCGCCUGCGAUUCUGCCGUAAAGCCCCCUUCGCAUUUUCAAUGAUUGACCUCGGAUCAGGUAGGAAUACCCGCUGAACUUAA
rnacentral:misc_RNA from 1 species